AUCUCGAGCUCUCUCCAUUUCAAGCUCUCUCCAUUUCGAGCUCUCUCCAUCUUGAGCUCUCUCCAUCUCGAGCUCUCUCCAUUUCAAGCUCUCUCUCUUCCCUGAAGAAAACCCAUCUCGAGCUCUCUCUUCUCCGAGCUCUCUCUCUCUCGAGCUCUCUCCAUUUCAAGCUCUCUCCAUCUCGAGCUCUCUCUUCUCCGAGGUUUGUGUAAAGCCGAGCUCUCUCUCUCGAUCUCGAAUAUCUCUUCUCCAUAACAUCUCGAAGCCCUCUUCUCCAUAGCAUCUCGAAGCUCUCUUCUCCAAACCCAUAUCUUCCUUUUCUCGUUGAGGUAUAUACCAACAGGUGUUCACUCCCAUCUCUUCCAUCACAGAGGAAGAUUACGCGUUUGACUAUUUGCAGAGGCAGUGAUCAAGCUGUUGUUCCUCUCCAAGCUCAGACUCUCUCCAAGCUCAGACCCUCUUUAGUGAGGAACAAGAAUCUGUUCAGACUACCGUUGCUCUCCAGAUCACGUGUAUUGUGUCUUAUUUCUAUUUUUAGUAUCAGACAUGAGAUGGGUCUCGUUGCAUUGUGUAUAUGACAUAUUGAAGAUUUAUUCAAUAUUACAGGUUGAUGUCUUGAACAUUUAUUUACUUGAACUUGUGCCUUGGCUGUUAAUCUUGUUGCAACAGAUCACUUAAGGGAGUGUACUGAAAUGUGGAUUUUAAAAAUUUGGG